CCUCUUAUAGGAAACUCCGAGCGUUAAUUUACAUAAAAACCCGCUGUCUUUACUCGUCUGAUGAUUCCUCGACAGUCCAACUGCCGAUCCCCGCGCUCGGUCGUGCCGUAAACAUCGUAUCGAUCUCCACGCACGAACCCACCCAUCAGUCCAACCGCCCCGAUCCAAAUUCUCGCUCCGUUCCCCGUUCGAGGGCUCUCGGGAUCGUCGCUUUUCCUCCCUUCUUGUUGCUGCAUCCGCACGCGUUCUUGGGGACGAACCGAGGGAGCCAGGCCCCGCGCCGAUCUUGAAAGCCCGCCUUUUGUUCUCGCCAAUUCGGGUUUGACUCGCGGUUUUUGCACAGCGAUUCCUCGCCCCGAUCGGGGUCCGUCGCCACGCGGUCGUGCGGUUGCGGUUGGCGGGUCUUUUGAUUUGAUCACGGCCGAUUCUUGGGUUCCGAAUUGGUGGCGGGUUCGAUUCUGGGAGUAAUUUGUAUCGGCUGCGCGACUUUUUCCAGGUUCCUCAUGGCAUAUAAGGGCAUCCCAAAUGAGAGAAGAAGUAGGAGUUCAAUGCCUAUAUUUGUCAUAGUUGCCUUGUGCUGUGCCUUCUAUAUUUUGGGUGCAUGGCAGCGAAGUGGUUUUGGAAAAGGAGACAGCAUUGCACUUGAAGUCACCAAGCAGGCCGAUUGCAGUGUCCUCUCCAAUCUACAGUAUGAAACACAAGAAAUCCGUGAUGCAAGGGUAACGGAUGAUUCCGACACGGAUAUCAAGGAAUUUAAGCCAUGCGAUGAUCAAUAUAUUGAUUACACACCAUGUCAGGACCAAAUGCGUGCUAUGAUGUUCCCUCGAGAAAAUAUGAAUUACAGAGAGAGGCACUGUCCCACUGAAGAAGGGAAGUUGCGUUGCCUUGUCCCAGCGCCCAAAGGAUAUGUGACCCCAUUCCCAUGGCCCAAGAGUCGCGACUAUGUUCCCUUUGCCAAUGCACCGUACAAGAGCUUGACUGUUGAAAAGGCUGUUCAGAACUGGAUCCAGUAUGAGGGCAAUGUGUUCAGAUUUCCAGGAGGGGGAACGCAGUUUCCAAAUGGGGCUGAUGCUUAUAUUGAAGAUCUUGCCUCUAUUAUUCCCUUGGAUAAUGGGCUGGUUAGGACUGCACUUGACACUGGAUGUGGGGUUGCGAGUUGGGGUGCAUACCUGUUUAAGAAAAAUGUUAUAGCCAUGUCAUUUGCACCCAGAGACUCUCAUGAAGCUCAAGUUCAAUUUGCACUGGAACGAGGUGUCCCUGCAGUUAUUGGAGUUCUUGGGACCAUAAAACUGCCAUAUCCAUCUAGAGCUUUUGACAUGGCUCACUGCUCUCGCUGCUUGAUACCAUGGGCUUCCAAUAAUGGAAUGUACAUGAUGGAAGUUGAUCGAGUUCUUAGACCCGGUGGUUAUUGGGUGCUUUCUGGUCCUCCCAUUAACUGGAUCAACAAUUACCAAGCAUGGCAGCGUCCAAAAGAGGAACUUGAGGAGGAGCAAAGGAAAAUUGAAGAGACUGCUGAACGUCUUUGCUGGGAGAAGAAGCAUGAGAGGGGAGAAAUUGCUAUAUGGCAAAAAAGAACCAACUGCCAUGGCAAAGAUCUGGAGCCCGCAAUGUGCAAAUCCACAAAUCCAGAUGAUGUCUGGUACAAGAAAAUGGAGGCAUGCAUUACUCCUUACCCUGAAACUACUCAUCUAGAAGAAGUUGUUGGGGCAUGGAAGCCAUUUCCAGAAAGAUUAAAUGCUAUUCCAUACAGAGUUUCCAGUGGUUCGAUACCUGGAGUGUCAGCUGAUUCAUUCCAGGAGGACAACAAGACAUGGAGGAAACAUGUAAACUUUUACAAGACAGAGAACAAGAUUAUGAGUUCUGGGAGGUAUCGAAACAUCAUGGACAUGAAUGCUGGUCUGGGGGAGUUUUGCUGCAGCACUGGAAUCUCCAAAGCUAUGGGUCAUGAAUGUCAUGCCCACAAUAGCUAAGAGAGACACUCUUGGUGUUAUAUAUGAGCGUGGGCUGAUAGGCAUAUAUCAUGAUUGGUGCGAAGCCUUCUCCACAUAUCCGAGGACAUAUGAUCUCAUUCACGCAUAUGGAGUUUUCAGCUUGUACAAGGAUAAGUGUAACAUGGAAGACAUUCUCCUCGAGAUGGAUCGUAUCCUACGACCUGAAGGAGCAGUCAUAUUCCGGGAUGAAGUGGAUGUGCUACUGAAGGUGAAGAGGAUUGUGGGUGGAAUGAGGUGGAACACAAAGAUGGUGGACCAUGAGGACGGUCCUCUGAUCACCGAGAAAGUUCUCUUUGCUGUCAAACAAUACUGGGUUGCUGGCGAAAGCAGCUCUACAUCCGCACCACAGCUGGGUUAAAGAAAGGAUGACUAGAGUACAGUUCUUGCAUUAACACGGCUGCUUUAGCUGUUCAAUGCGCAUCCCCAGAGAGAGGUGAGAUAACGUGCAACCCCUUCUAAUUUUAUGUACAGGUGACCCUAAUUCUUCAAACGGUCUGUAGUACUCUAGCCUUUUUCUUUUUCCUUUUUGGCUUCUUCAAUUCUGUUCUUUCUGAUGAAUUUUGCAGCACUGUUAAUGCUAAUUUAUGCCUGUAUGUGUCCCCCUUGAACACGACUCGUUAGCAUCCUGUUUUGAGGGAAGCUACUGGCCACUCUCCUUUGUACUUCCACUCUGAGAUUUCUGGUACAAUCAUUUGUUAUCCGUUUG